UGGUGGGUAGUUUGACUGGGGCGGUCUCCUCCCAAAGUGUAACGGAGGAGCACGAAGGUCAGCUAAUCCUGGUCGGACAUCAGGAGGUUAGUGCAAUGGCAUAAGCUGGCUUGACUGCGAGAGUGACGGCUCGAGCAGGUGCGAAAGCAGGUCAUAGUGAUCCGGUGGUUCUGUAUGGAAGGGCCAUCGCUCAACGGAUAAAAGGUACUCCGGGGAUAACAGGCUGAUACCGCCCAAGAGUUCAUAUCGACGGCGGUGUUUGGCACCUCGAUGUCGGCUCAUCACAUCCUGGGGCUGAAGUAGGUCCCAAGGGUAUGGCUGUUCGCCAUUUAAAGUGGUACGCGAGCUGGGUUUAGAACGUCGUGAGACAGUUCGGUCCCUAUCUGCCGUGGGCGCUGGAGAAUUGAGGGGGGCUGCUCCCAGUACGAGAGGACCGGAGUGGACGCAUCACUGGUGUUCGGGUUGUCAUGCCAAUGGCACUGCCCGGUAGCUAAAUGCGGAAGAGAUAAGUGCUGAAAGCAUCUAAGCACGAAACUUGCCCCGAGAUGAGUUCUCCCUGAGACUA
rnacentral:rRNA from 1 species